GUUGUAAGCACUUAAGAGGAAAAUGCUAGCUAAUACCUUUGGUCAGUGACGUACCUGCAAAUAACACCGGCUAACUCCGUGCCAGCAGCCGCGGUAAUACGAGAGGGUGCGAGCGUUAAUCGGAAUUACUGGGCGUAAAGCGCGCGUAGGCGGUUGGCUAAGUUUGCUGUGAAAGCCCCGGGCUUAACCUGGGAACUGCUAGUGAAUACUGGUCGGCUAGAGUAUGGUAGAGGGUAGUGGAAUUUCCAGGUGUAAGCAGUGAAAUGCGUAGAGAUCGGAAGGAACACCAGUGGCGAAGGCGGAUAUCUGGAACCAAUACUGACGCUGAGAUGCGAAAGCGUGGGGAGCAAACAGGAAAAAUACCCUGGUAGUCC
rnacentral:rRNA from 1 species